ensembl:lncRNA
AAAAACUUUGUUUAAUGAACAUCCAAUUUUUGCAAUAAAAUUCCUUCUCUAAUUUUGAUUGUUGUCAAAAUAGAAAACCAAAAUUUACAUGAGGUUUGGAGUAGUAACAGAAACACUGGUUGUUGUUUCUGGAAACACUGUUGUAGUGGUUGGUAGACGUAGCUCAUUGAGGAAGCUGACUGGUUGUAUGACAUCUCCAUCCUGGAAGCUGUAUUCCAUCCUGCCAUCAAUCUGGUUUGAAGUGCUUCUACAAGACAAACAAUAGAUAUUUGUUAAGGACUUUAAUCCACAUCUUGAAAAAGUUUUUUUUUUUUUUUUUUUAUUACAAAUCCUAAUUUUUUUUUGUAACUUUACGUAGCUUCAAUGAGCUAAAAUAAGAGGACACAUGAAGUAAAGACUGUGAAGCGAGUUCGCAUCUUACGUGAAGUUGGAGGACUUUGGUUGUAAAGUUGGACUUCCAGGUUCAUUCAGAAGAGUGUUCAGCUGCAGGAGAAAAAUCAAACCAUUCAUCAGUUUCUCGUAAAGACUGGAAUUGAACCUAAGAUGUAUUACACUGUUCAUUUUUGAAGUUUACCGCAUUAUUGAUGGUAUCCUGCACUUUCUGGUUGGUGUUGCCUCUAGACACAGGGUCCUCUGGCAUGCUGAUGUUAAUCACGUUAAAUGUAAAGACCACAGCAUAGGAG